GUGCUCGCUUUGGCAGCUCCUAUACCAAAAUUGGAACGAUACAGAGAAGAUUAGCAUGACCCCUGUGCAAGGAUGACAUGCAAAUCGGUGAUGCAUUCCAUAUUUAA